rnacentral:rRNA from 1 species
UACGGAGGGUGCAAGCGUUAUCCGGAUUCACUGGGUUUAAAGGGUGCGUAGGCGGGCAGGUAAGUCAGUGGUGAAAUCUCCAAGCUUAACUUGGAAACUGCCGUUGAUACUAUCUGUCUUGAAUAUUGUGGAGGUGAGCGGAAUAUGUCAUGUAGCGGUGAAAUGCUUAGAUAUGACAUAGAACACCAAUUGCGAAGGCAGCUCACUACACAAUCAUUGACGCUGAGGCACGAAAGCGUGGGGAUCAAACAGG